UGGCCCAUAGUGUAACGGCAGCACGACUGACUCUGAAUCAGUUAGUCUAGGUUCAAAUCCUAGUGGGCCAA
rnacentral:tRNA from 1 species